AACCCCAGGUCAGGCGUGGGCACCCGCUGAAUUUAAGCAUAUCAAUAAGCGGAGGAGAAGAAACUUACA
rnacentral:rRNA from 1 species